UUUUUUUUUUUUUUUUUUUUUUUACCAUUUAACUAUUAAAAACCCAUAUUUCCAGUAAUGGAAGAUUAGGAUUAAUCCACCAUAAAAUUAAUUCAAUUUUCUAAAUGUUAGUCAUUUAAAAAGUCUUAAGGUAAUUUUUUUCUGCUGAAAGGGAGAUAGGCCAGUAUAGAAAUAGGACAUAAUAAUAAUAAUAAAAAAACACAAAAAGAGCCUUUGCUGCUUGGCAACAGGUAGAACCAUAGCUCACGGAACUACUUAUUAUGUACAUCAUAAUGGAAUUCUUUAGGCAAACCACAGAAAAAAGUCCUAGUAAUAUUUCCAUUAUACCUUUUUCUCCAAUGCUCAGGAAACCAAUACACACACACAUGCACACACACACAUGUAUAUGUAAAAAUUUAACAUGUUCAUAUUUUGUGGGCAAGAUAGUAACUGAAAGAAUAUACUGAAGUUGAUGUAGUGAAUACAUAUACAGUCUCUCUCUUUCAUAUAUACUCUCUCUCUCUCUCUCUCUCUCUCCUACACACACACAAACACACACACACAAACACACACAAACUAGAAAUAACUUUUCGGGUUGGAAUAAAUUAUAAACAUUGGUAUAUGUUUAAUUUAAAUACGCUAACAAGGAAGAUAUAGUAUACUGAUUUUUAAGAAAAAUAAUUCAUAAAUCAUAGCCAAUGUAAAAGUCCAUUCUUAAAUGCCUUAAAUUAUCUGCAGUUUCUUUAAGUUACCACAAUUCUUAGAACGAAAACAAUGAGGUAUUUAUGUUAUUUCAGUAAAUGGCAGCAUAAAAAACGAUCUAUUUUAAACGAUAAGCAUAGCAGUCCACUUAAGAGCUGUUUUUUAACUAGACAAUUUGGUUUUGCAUGAAAAUUGCAACUAAGUUUAAUUAUUACAAUCCGAAGGGUAAUAGCUCACACCUCCUUAAAUAAAGAAGGUAAGCUUCUACAAGAGUCAGGUAUAGAAUAUUUAAAUCAGAUCAAUUGUAUGAUAGUAAGGAUAAGCAGAAUGUAGCCACGACCACCUAUGAUGAUGACUGAAAAUUUGCAAUAUACAACAAAACAAGCAAUAACGUUGAAAUAAAUGGGUAAGUUUUCAGCAUAAGGUCCUGGACAGUUUAUCCAAAACACGAAGGUCAGUAAGUUUUUACUCCACUCCGUAUUACCCAUCUCUUCAUAUUAAAAGUGAAAACAUUUAACAGCCUGCUUCUAGUGUUUCUAUAUAUUUGUAUAAAAUUUAUUUUUAUCCUAGUUGGACUAUCAUUAAAUCCUUCCAAAGGCAGAAAAGAUGUAUGAUUCUUUCAAUUUAAAUACAUUCUCAUUCUAAACGGUCCGUGAGCUGGUUCUUUAUGUUUUCCUGAAUCCAAGUUGAGGAUGAUCUUCCAAGCCGAGUACUGCAUGAAAGUCAAUGUCAUCUAAGGUCUAUUUCCUCCAUUUUCCCAUCAUGCCACUUUUUAAGGCAAUACCUUUAAUUUCUCCUAGGUGUUCACUGCAUGCAUUUUCUAUUAAGUCCCACACACUGAUAAUGCACAAUCGUUCGCAUUACAACAGUCAGGAACUUCAUGCAUUGGCAUUACUAUAGCCAGGAAGUUUAUGAGAGGUGUACAUUCAUUAAGUCAUCCGUUCUCAGGAUCUGCUGCCAUUAGGCACCUAAAGGCUGAAACUCAAUCCACUGCUAAGGUAAUAAGAGGGGCUUCUCCUCUGCACACAGACACCACGGGAAGGCAAAGGUUAGAACUUUGCGACACAAGAUUCUUCUCGCUUUGGAAUCUCAGACCAGCCAGGUUCUGGAGGGUUUCCUUAGUGGUGCGGGGCCUCGAAGUCAAGGGAGCCCCUAGGGGAUCGACCUCUUGCCUCCCAUGUGUACCCAAGCUGGGUCCCAAGCUAGCACACCUCCCGCACAUCACCCGAGCGGAAGUGGCGCGUCCGUCGGUCCGUCCUUCCGGCCUGCCGUCUGCCAACUUCCGGCGGCGGGUGGGCGCGCGCCAGGUAACGACCUUCUGCGCCGAGGCUCGGCCGUCGGCGGCGUGUGGAUGGAGGCCUUGGCCCCGGGCCGGGCUCCGCGGGGCCGGCGGCGGGCCGGGGCCUCGGGCUCCGUGCUCUCGCCGCUGUCGCUGGCCGCCGUCCUGCUCUGCGCCUUGCUGCGGGCGCCCCCUGCAGUUGGACAUUUGGCUCGACUGCCAAGAAGUAUCCACUUGACUCAAGAUUCACUGAAAAUAGUGGGAUCGACACAUUUUCCUGUGAGCGUAUAUGUUAUGCUUCAUCAAAAGAGUCCACAUGUGCUAUGUGUAACCCAACGACUGAGAAAUACAGAGCUGGUAGACCCAUCAUUCCAAUGGCAUGGGCCAAAAGGAAAACUUGUUUCAGAAAAUACCACUGCACAAGUGACCUCCACAGGAAGCCUCAUAUUUCAGAGCUUUGAAGAGACCAUGAGUGGGGUUUAUACAUGUUUCCUCGAGUAUAAACCAACUGUAGAGGAAUCUAUUAAAAAUCUUCAACUGAAAUACAUUGUUUAUGCUUAUCGUGAACCUCGGUUUUAUUAUCAGUUCACAGCUCGAUACCAUGCAGCUCCCUGCAACAGUAUCUAUAACAUUUCUUUUGAGAAGAAACUUCUUCAGAUUUUAAGUAAGCUGGUUCUUGACCUUUCCUGUGAAAUAUCCUUGAUUAAGUCUGAAUGCCAUCGUGUUAAAAUGCAAAGAGCUGGUUUGCAAAAUGAAUUGUUCUUCACAUUUUCAGGCUAAAAAUCUCAUAGAGAGAUUCUUCAUUCAGCAAGUAGAAGUCCUGGGCAAGCGUGCGGAGCCACUGCCUGAGAUAUACUACAUUGAGGGAACCCUUCAGAUGGUGUGGGUGAACCGCUGCUUUCCAGGGUAUGGCAUAAAUGUCCUGAAGCAUCCCAAGUGCCCAGAGUGCUGUGUGGUCUGCAGCCCUGGAUCCUUCAAUCCCCGGGAUGGAACUCAUUGCCUCCAGUGCAACAACAGCCUGGUGUAUGGAGCGAAGACAUGCAUGUAGGCCAGGGCCUUGUGGGACCCAGCAGCUCAUUCAACAUAAAAGUAUAUUUUUGAAGUACUAAAGUAUAAUAACUCACUAUUAUGCCAAAAUUAAAUAAUCAGAAUUUACAAAGAUACGGUGUCCUCAUUCAAUCCAGUACUGUAUGCAUCAUCUUUCUUGGUUAAUGAUAAUGGUUAGCUGCAUCUGACACCAGAUGACUCCUUUGUCACUGCCUUUUAAAGAUUGUUUCAAAUGUUCUGUAUUGGGUGAUGUUAAAAGAUUUUUCAGGAAUUAAAAAAAUACUCUUUAUUUUUACUAUAUGUCACCUAUAUUCAGGCCAUCCUAUUUUAUAAGAGCUUUAAUCUUAACUUACAAAGUUUUAGCUAUUUGAACUUGGCCUUUGACAGCUCAAAGCCAGUUUCAAAUUACAUGUCCUGGGUCUCCUUAUUGUACUUGUUAGUGGAAGACCUAGUCCUAGAGAAAUGGUGGCAUUUAAUAUCAGUGUAUUUGGCUUAAAUGAUCAGUUGACAGACUCUUAAACCAGACAUAGAAGCAUAGGCCUGUAAUCUUAAUAAUUUGAAGCUGAUGGCAGGAAGAUCAAAAGUCCAAGGAGAGCUUGGACUAUGUGAGAACCUGCCGCAAAAAUCUCUUACAACGUUUGAGAAUGUAGCUACCAUUGAAUGUUCUCAGUAGGCUGAAGCAGUUUGUCUCCCAACAGUGCUUCUAGGACAAAGGAUUAAUAAGGAUCACAGUUUUCAGUUUUUGCACCUUUAAAAUGCAUGCUGUGUGUCAGAAGUCACUGCUGCUACCACUAAUACUAUCUUCUUUUACAUUUGGAUGCCACAUUGGAAUAUGAAGAGUUGCGUAAAGAUUUAAAUAGAGGAAAAUCCACAAAUAACUUUGGAGUCAUUUUCUAAAGUUCUUAUUGAUCAGCCGGUUCACAUUUCCUUCAUCUUCUCUGUGAGACGUUGCCUGCUUUGCUUUUGACAUCAGCCGCUCAAGGAUGGAAAACCAAAUAGUUGGAUCUUACUGAGAUCCUUGAAGUGGCAGCAUCUUUAAGUGCCAGGUUGGCUAACAAGGAAGUAUACUUGUUGGCUUGUAGAGAUAAAGCUAGCUAGAAAAGAUCCUAUUAUAUCUUCCUGUGAACAAGUGCAGCCUCAGUAUUCUCAUACAGAAGAAGGCAAUUGGCCUGUGGUUGUUCUUGGUUAGCCCUGGUGGUAAUUGCUUUCUUCCUCUGGGCUUUCAUCAUUAGCACCAAUUGCUGCUUUAUAGCUCAUAGAGGUUUUUAGAUGUCUUCUUUUCUCUGGCAGGCAACACAGUGAGUAUUAUACUGCUUGGGUAAAAUAUGAAAUUUCUCUACAUAACUAGCAUAUUCAUCCUGUAACUUCUAGGACCCCAGUCUCCUCCUCUAAAACUUCUUGAAACUAUCCCAAUUUCUUAGGAAUUUUCAUAGGAAUAGCAAGACAGAGUAGAGAUAUCAAAAGAACUGGGCUCUAAGGAUGACACUCAAUUAUUUCCCUUGUAAAUUGUGAACCCCGGCCUGCUCUGCACUUCCCAGCUCUAUGACAUAGGAAAUUAAUUAUAUAUAAGCAAGGUAAAUUUUCUGUUAGAGAUAAAACAAUCCUAGCUGAUAAAGUACUAACUACAGGGAGUUGUAAAGCAAACACUGGGAAAGGAGGUUAUCAAAGAACCAGCUAUCAGCAGCUGUAGCUUUUUGUAAGCUCCCAUAUUCGCCAUCAUGAAUCAUUUCUUUUAAUAUUAUGUGCUUUCCCAUAUAUUGGGAUUGAUUCAAUAUAUUCUUCCAAUUGUCAACCUAGGAGAGCAGAGGUAGAGCUGUAAUGGUGGUGAUAAGUCUGGAGAACAGUGUCUUCCGGAAGCCAUAGACCAUCUUUAUAGGAGUAGACAUGCAAUAGAAGUGUGUCUUUAGAAAUACACUCUAGAAUUAAGUUCCCAGUUUACACAGGCAGACUGUUCAACAAAACCUUACCAAUGUUAGAGAUCAGAGCAAGGUAAAAUUAAGAGGUGAGGUCAAGAGAAGUAUCUUUAGAAAGAGAAACAAAAGACAGACAUUAAUGAUUACCCUUUGCUGUUUCAUAUAGUGAAAUAAUCCAUUUGAUUAUGUGACAUCACUGCUGUUUUAGCCAACCAUGUGUUUGUAUUCAGCAUUCAGCUAUACUAGCCUAUUUCUAGUUAUAGCCCUCUGCAUACACUAUAGUUAGGUUUUUAUAUGAAUUAAAGGUCUAUGACUGACAAUAUGUCAGUAUCUAAAACAAAAGUUACUUCUGUUGUAAUGUGAUAAGAUGGACAGUGUUAAUCAGUGUUUAAAAUGACAUCAGCAUGUGCCAGAAGCUGUGAGUGGUCUCUAAAAGAUUGUUGUCAUAUAGCAGUUUCAGGGAGUUCAGCUUACAUCAAAAUAAUUUCUUCCUGUACAAUACCUUUUCAACUAUAUGAACAGAUAAUUACCUAAUUUAAUACCUAAUUUAAGGGGAAAUAUCUAUUUCCAUUCUGUAUUAUAUUUACAUUAAAUAUGUAAUGUAUGUUCAUUUAGCAGUAUGGAAAUAAAGAUCUUUAAGUUUGGUUCAGUAAUCUCAUUUCCUGAUGAUUCAAUUACUAACAAGUAAAUUAGAUAGGUGAAAUGGCACUAAGUGUCACAGCGUAUGUAGUAAUAAGCAAAAUUAGCACAAGUGCCCCUUAGGAAGGGCGAAUAAACUGUUCUACUUUUACAUUACAGGCUGUUUCCAAGCUAAUGAAUUGCUGUCACAUUUUCAAAUUGAAUGAAUUAAUUCAGAACAACUAUAUACUUAACUGUAUAUUUUUGGAUUAUUAUUGUUUGUAUUUUGAGUUAUAAAACAAAUGCACUGAAAUGUUUAUCUCAUGUUUGUCUCGUGUAACAGGAUCAUGCGUGAGUUUUUUUGAUGCCUUCUGUUUAUCAAAAUUUCUUUAAUGGUAUGAAUUACUUUCAAAAUGUUAGAAGCAAUAAACUUACUUUGAAAAACUGCA